GAUGAAGAACGCAGCGAAAUGCGAUAAGUAAUGUGAAUUGCAAAAUUCCGUGAAUCAUUAAAUCUUUGAACGCACUUUGCGCUCUUUGGCAAUCCAGAGAGCAUGUCUGUUUGAGAAUCAGUUUAAAUCUCACUCCCUUGACGCGAGUCAAAGGAGUGGUUGUGGGUUCUUUGCUAACCGCAAAGUUCCUUAAAUGUAAUUUGCUUGGUGUACUAUUGAAGACGCAACCGGAAAGCAUGACCAAUGAACGCUUGUUCUUGAUUGCUGAUAAAGGCCGUUUAAAUACUCAUCCAACAAUUUUAAACACGGAGUAGCAAUACUCUCAAGACAUGAUCUCAAAUCAGACAAGACUACCCGCUGAACUUAAGCAUAUCAAUAAGCGGAGGA
rnacentral:misc_RNA from 1 species